rnacentral:pre_miRNA from 1 species
CGGGGGAGGCGGGAUCCUGGGCUGUGUCCGGCGCUCUGUGCUCCGGGGCCUGCGCUGGUGGAUUCACGCUUCCGGCGGUGCAGCCCCCU